CCGCCACCAGCUCAUCUGGAUAGAGCAUCAGCCUUCUAAGUUGAUUGUGCGAGGUUCGAGCACCCGGUGGCGGACCA
rnacentral:tRNA from 4 species